UAUGCCUAUUGUUAUUUUGGACUAUAGGGUGUAGUUUUUAAAGUCAUACACAAUAUGGCGGCGAUUAUGCGGAAAUGAAAUUGAAUGUUACUUCGAACACGUUCUUCUACAAAAUAAUCGACCUGUAUUUAGUGCUAUUGAUUUAACAUCAAUCGAAGCAAAAAUGGCAUCAAUGUAUGCGUCUAAAAAUGUUAAAUUUAGAUGGAGACAAUCCAGAAAUGAGCUGCCAGGAAGUGCUCGAUUUCGGACACGAAGAUUGAGAAGUGCCUGGAUACAAGGCUUGUAUUGUUAACAUCAUCUAAUACAAUCAACUGGAACAAAGCUGAAAUGGCUGUCUGACCUGGCUUAAAAAUUGGAUGGCAGUACAUCAGACUAGAAGAUUACAAGUAUUGAGGUGGACAAAAUGAGCCUGAGCCUACCAAAGCUGACAGAUUGCACAAGAAACACAUAAAUGCAGAAACCAUAUUGAGGAGCUGGUCCACCUGUAGGAAGAAUUGCGCUAUUGGUUGGAGCAGCACUAUUACCCAGCCAUACACCAGCACUAAGUUUGUCAUAGGGAGCAUUUCUGAGCAGUUAUGGAGACCACUAACUAUGCAGUUGUUGCAGUGAAACUUGCACCAGUGUGUUUUCUGUCGGGAUAAAGAGAUAGUGUCCAGCAAUGAAGAUCCAACUCAAGAUCUGACCUUGUAAGGCCAAUAUGAAAUAACUGUGUGGGAAAAUGGGAAAAACCUGCAGUCAGGAAUGCAGGGAAAUCAUCAAAAGAACAGUGUUAAAUUAUUCUUGAAUAACUUGACAUUUAUUUUGUUUGACAUAUUUAUUCAUGGUGCAGUGAAAACAUUCUUUUUUUCUCAUUGUUAUUUAAAUUUAGAAUUGAUGGGAGGGAACAUCACUAUGUAGUUUCAUGUUCAUAGUCAGAUCAAAACCCAUGUACAUACCCAAAUGAGCAUUCGAAAAUAUCAAAAUGGUACUUGUUGUAUGUAGUGUAAGUUAAUUAACAUAAUAAACAAAACUAUUCAAUCAAUUUCAAUUUAUUAUGCCCCUUUCAAAGAAGAGGAGUAUAUUGCUUUGCACAUGUUGGCCGCUACGUCCGUCUGUCUGACAGUACACCAAAGCUUUUCCAGGUGAUAACUCUACAA